rnacentral:lncRNA from 1 species
ACUACUUAAAUCUCCAAACCAAAUUUUAACGAUUGGGGUGAAAAUUUAGCCUCCAACGGACCUUCCGAAAUGCCAUUUGCCGUCCUUCUUAUAAGCUAAAAUUUAAAUGUUAAAUCUUAUUUAGUAAUGAUUUUAGAGUUUUUUUACCGGAGUUUAUUUAACAGUCUUGCCUUUUAAAUCGCUAAAAUAUAUAUAUAUAUAUACUAUUUUUAUUUACAGGUAUAAAAUUUAAUUACUUAAUUUUUUCCAAGGAAAACAAAACUAUCACCGAUCGAGUGGGACUCGUCUGCAUCGAAGGCUGAAGCAUUGCGCAGCCGUGCAGGCACGUCGUCUCCCAUCCACGCUGCUGCGCCAUGCCGGCAUCACGCGGGGGAUCAGAUAGAUGGUCAGAUCGUCUCGGGCAAAAGCCGAUGCCCCCCCAUCCGCUCGCACGCCGAGCCCACUACGCGAUUAGGGACUAAUCAACAGUUUUGAGUUGCAUCUGCGCUCCGGCAUGUGAAGUGAAGCAGCGAAAGGCGCAAAGAAAAGGCGCGAGCCACAGCGCAGCUGAGCUGCGUGAACAGUGUCACUAGUGCAAAAAAUGAGAUUAGAAAAAAGCUACGGCUAAUUAUUUACAUGGCCGGCCGCCGGCCUGCCUCGGAACCGGCGG